rnacentral:rRNA from 1 species
UGGGGAAUAUUGCACAAUGGGCGAAAGCCUGAUGCAGCAACGCCGCGUGAGUGAUGAAGGUCUUCGGAUUGUAAAGCUCUGUCUUUUGGGACGAUAAUGACGGUACCAAAGGAGGAAGCCACGGCUAACUACGUGCCAGCAGCCGCGGUAAUACGUAGGUGGCGAGCGUUGUCCGGAUUUACUGGGCGUAAAGGGUGCGUAGGCGGAUGUUUAAGUGAGAUGUGAAAUACCCGGGCUUAACUUGGGUGCUGCAUUUCAAACUGGAUAUCUAGAGUGCAGGAGAGGAGAAUGGAAUUCCUAGUGUAGCGGUGAAAUGCGUAGAGAUUAGGAAGAACACCAGUGGCGAAGGCGAUUCUCUGGACUGUAACUGACGCUGAGGCACGAAAGCGUGGGUAGCAAACAGGAUUAGAUACCCUGGUAGUCCACGCCGUAAACGAUGAGUACUAGGUGUAGGAGGUAUCGACCCCUUCUGUGCCGCAGUAAACACAUUAAGUACUCCGCCUGGGAAGUACGAUCGCAAGAUUAAAACUCUAAAGUGAGUUGAC